CGCCUGGAAAUCCGAAAUUUAUUUGGAAAAACAACAAAGAACACAAUGAAACAAAAGUGAUCUAAAGGAAUUUAUCUAAAACAUUGUUGGAAAAAAAAACUACUAGAAAAGGCAAGCAUUUCGACAAUGCAGCAAAAAAAGAAUUGAAGCAUUCAAAUUGAAAAAUAAAACAAAAAACGCAGAACAAGCAGCAAAAAACAAAAUAAAAGAUUGCCGAGUCAUCCAGGCGACUGUCAGAUGGAAGUAUCCAUUUUCAACAGGGAAAAAUAAGAGCGUGUAGAGAGAGAGAGACACACACAAACACAGACAACAUUUUUCUUUCUUUUUCUUGUUUUACCUGCAGCCAUUGCGUAUGCAUUAAGUUUGAAAAAUUUAUCAAAUACUACUUCUUGGUUAUUAAUUACUGAAACAUGGUGUCAAAGGGAAAUGAGAAUGGCAGAAGAAACGGAAUUGAAAGAGACAGAAAUUCGGACAUACCGCGACUGAUUUUUUCAUAGUGGUUGUGCAGAUGGGCGACCAAUCGGCUACCGAAGUCAUCUCCAGGAUAAAACGGUCCAUGAUGAUCGGCCUGAUGGUGACCAAUAAACUGGACUGUUUCGGUGAUGCAUUCAAGAAAUCCGGAUCGAUAUUGAUCCGAUUUCGUGUUGCUAUGCAGCUGUUCCAUCUGGACGGCUAUAUCGCACGAUUCUGUCGACGUGUCAUUGCAAAGUUUAGUUUUCGAUCUUUUUUUUUUAUUAUUUUGUAAUAAUUUUGCUUACCCAUUUCUUUGCAGGCGUGAACCUGCAAGUGUUUCAUGUGCUUGAUUGUCAUUUCAAUGAUUUCGGUUUUUUCGAUCCUGCCACGCCCCUUUUUCAUGUAAGCGGAUGGUAAGAGCCGGGACAAAUCAGCUAAACAGUUGUUCAUCCGGUCACGCCUUCUUUUUUCAAUAAUGCGAUGCGAUUGAGGAUCGCGAGCUGAUUUCGUCUUUUUGGAGAAAUUUGAAUAUGCCUCUUCAUCUUCACUUCCGAUGGCAGCAAAAUUUAAAUUCCUAAAUUGUGCGUCAUAUUUGUCUCCCAGACCAGUUCAACAGUUUAUUCACCCAGAAAAGAAAACAUAUAUUGAAAUCCGGUUGCAACGGAUACGGUUGGUCACACGCGAGAGCCACGUGAUCGACAAGGUCAUCAUCCUUUGGUCAUUUUGCGCCGGAUAACAUAAUGCGAAAAACGGCACGUGAUACCAUUCACGCACGUGAUGUCUCAACAGUUAGAAGGCGUUGACUUUUAAAAGACCAGAGCUAAAGGCAGGGGAAUUUGACCGCACCCAUUCCUAUUCUUUUUUUCUUUCGAAAAUGCUGAAUGAUCCUGACAGCACGUGGGCAACAAUCACCUCAUCCCCUGGAGCAUUAAUGGUAAAGGUGCGUAAAAAGGCAUAUAGAAUACCUUUAUCUUACACCCAUCUGUUAAUCUUGUUUGGGCCUCGUGACUUUUAAUUUCCAAUACGCAAGCAUAAAGACACAACCUUAAAAUAAAAAAUGGCAAAACGAA